rnacentral:rRNA from 1 species
CCUACGGGGGGCAGCAGUGGGGAAUUUUGGACAAUGGGCGCAAGCCUGAUCCAGCCAUGCCGCGUGAGUGAAGAAGGCCUUCGGGUUGUAAAGCUCUUUCGGUCGGGAAGAAAUAGUUAUGGCUAAUAUCCAUAAUGAAUGACGGUACCGACAUAAGAAGCACCGGCUAACUACGUGCCAGCAGCCGCGGUAAUACGUAGGGUGCAAGCGUUAAUCGGAAUUAUUGGGCGUAAAGGGUGCGCAGGCGGAUGUAUAAGUCAGAUGUGAAAUCCCUGGGCUUAACCUAGGAAUUGCGUUUGAAACUAUAUGACUAGAGUGUGAUAGAGGGGAGUGGAAUUCCAUGUGUAGCAGUGAAAUGCGUAGAGAUGUGGAAGAACACCGAUGGCGAAGGCAGCUCCCUGGAUUAACACUGACGCUCAUGCACGAAAGCGUGGGGAGC